rnacentral:misc_RNA from 1 species
GUGAGUCAUCGAAUCUUUGAACGCAUAUUGCGCUCAAGCCCUCGGGCAAGAGCAUGUCUGCCUCAGCGUCGGUUUACACCCUCACCCCUCCCAACUUGUUGGGUGUGCUUGCUUUAUUGGCAAGCCGUUGGGGUGGAUCUGGCUUCCCCAAUCAGCCAUCAGGCAGAUUGGGUUGGCUGAAGUGCAGAGGCUUAAGCAAGGACCCGAUAUGGGCUUCAACUGGAUAGGUAGCACCGGCUUCUGCCGACUACACGAAGUUGUUGCUUGUGGAUCUUGCUAGAAGCCAAGUAGGAAUGUGCC